CUUUUUUUGCCGAGAGAGUGACGAAGUUUAGUAAUCCGAGCGGGUUAUUGGAUUCCCGUUGGCGGUUCGAUCCCCGAUUCCGAGCGCAAGCGAGGAAAAGGGGCCAGGACCGACGAAAAGUCCCGGUUCGUCGGGGCGGAUUCGGACCAGCAAACUUCCCGGAAAAACCUCUCAAGGGUUAUCAAGAAAAGGGAACCGUACCGUAAACCGACACAGGUGGGUGGGCGUGAAAACGCCAAGGUGAACGGAUGAAAGUUCGUGAAGGAACUAGGCAAACAAGUAUGCGUAACUUCGGAAUAUGCAUUCCCCGUAUAGCGCAAGCUUUUACGGGGCGCAGCGAAAGACUCUCAGGCGGCUGUUUAUCAAAAACACAGGUCCCUGCUAAACUCGCAAGAGGAAAUAUAGGGGCUGAGACCUGACCAGUGCCCGUGUGUCAAAACUGGCGGUGGUAUUGUCGCAAGACGGUAUCGCUAACCGGUCUAAGCUACGGGUGAACGUCCGCGGUAACUCUGACCGUGUUAAAGUAGCGUAGUCCCUUGUCGCGUAAGUUGCGACCCGCAUGAAAGGUAUAACGACCUGAGAACUGUCUCCACGAAUUAUCCGGUGAAAAUGUAAUGGAAGUGAAGAUACUUCCUACCUGCGGCUAGACGGAAAGACCCCGGGAGCUUUACUGCAGGGUGAUAUUGGGUUUUGGAUUUUGAUGCGUAGCAUAGUGGUGAGGCGUUGAGAUCUCGUUUUCGGACGGGGUGGAGCCGACAGUGAAAUAGCCAUCUUCAAUAUUCAUCAUCCUAAUCCUAAGGGUGACAGUGUCACUUGGGCAGUUUAAGUGGGGCGCUUGCCUCCUAAAAAGUAACGGAGGCGUUUAAAGGUCAGCUAAGCACGGAUGGAAAUCGUGCGUGUCGCGUAAAGGCAAAAGCUGGCUUGACUGCAAGGCGGAUGUGCCGCGCAGGCGCGAAAGCGGAACUUAGUGAACCGAUGCUGGUUAUUAGAAUCGGCAGAGAUUAUCAAACAAAAGUUACCCCGGGGAUAACAGGCUGGUACGACCCACGAGUCCAUAUCAACGGUCGUGUUCGGCACCUCGAUGUCGGCUCAUCAUAGCGCGGGGGUGGAGAAGCUCCCAAGCGUCCGGCUGUUCGCCGGUUAAAAUGGUACGUGAGCUGGGUUCAGACCGUCGCGAGACAGGUCGGUCCCUAUCUACCGCAGGCGUUUGAGUUUUGAGGAGAGUCGUCCCUAGUACGAGAGGACCGGGAUGAACUGACCUCUGGUGUACCGGUUGUUCCGCCAGGAGCACCGCCGGGUAGCUAAGUCGGGAACGGAUAAGAACUGAAAGCAUCUAAGUUCGAAGCCGGCUCCAAGAUAAGAACUCUCAGUUUCCUCCAAGAACAGGAGGUUGAUAGGCUGCAGGUGCAAGUGCGGCAACGCAUUCAGCCGAGCAGUACUAAUAAACGAUCAAACGCCUUG
rfam:Smithella sp. SCADC Smithella_SCADC_Contig_227, whole genome shotgun sequence.